GGGUCGUUAGCUCAGCUGGUAGAGCAGCUGACUCUUAAUCAGCGGGCCACAGGUUCGAUCCCUGUACGACCCACCA
rnacentral:tRNA from 10 species